rnacentral:rRNA from 1 species
GAUGAACGCUGGCGGCGUGCUUAACACAUGCAAGUCGUGCGGUAACAGGCGUAGCAAUACGUGCUGACGAGCGGCGAACGGGUGCGUAAUACAUGGGAAUCUGCCCUUUAGUGGGGAAUAACCCGGCGAAAGCCGGGCUAAUGCCGCAUAAGAUCUUCGGAUGAAAGCGGGGACCGUAAGGCCUCGCGCUGAUGGAUGAGCCCAUGUCGGAUUAGCUAGNGGUGAGGUAACGGCUCACCAAGGCGACGAUCCGUAGCUGGUCUGAGAGGACGGCCAGCCACACUGGGACUGAGACACGGCCCAGACUCCUACGGGAGGCAGCAGUGGGAAUAUUGGACAAUGGGCGAAAGCCUGAUCCAGCGACGCCGCGUGUGUGAAGAAGGCC